rnacentral:rRNA from 1 species
UNUGAAGUUAAAGGCUGUGGCUUAACCAUAGUACGCUUUGGAAACUGUUUAACUUGAGUGCAGAAGGGGAGAGUGGAAUUCCAUGUGUAGCGGUGAAAUGCGUAGAUAUAUGGAGGAACACCGGUGGCGAAAGCGGCUCUCUGGUCUGUAACUGACGCUGAGGGUCGAAAGCGUGGGGAGCGAACAGGAUUAGAUACCCUGGUAGUNCACGCCGUAAACGAUGAGUGCUAGGUGUUAGGCCCNUUCCGGGGCUUAGUGCCGCAGCUAACGCAUUAAGCACUCCGCCUGGGGAGUACGACCGCAAGGUUGAAACUCAAAGGAAUUGACGGGGGCCCGCACAAGCGGUGGAGCAUGUGGUUUAAUUCGAAGCAACGCGAAGAACCUUACCAGGUCUUGACAUCCCGAUGCCCGCUCUAGAGAUAGAGUUUUACUUCGGUACAUCGGUGACAGGUGGUGCAUGGUUGUCGUCAGCUCGUGUCGUGAGAUGUUGGGUUAAGUCCCGCAACGAGCGCAACCCUUAUUGUUAGUUGCCAUCAUUCAGUUGGGCACUCUAGCGAGACUGCCGGUAAUGAACCGGAGGAAGGUGGGGAUGACGUCAAAUCAUCAUGCCCCUUAUGACCUGGGCUACACACGUGCUACAAUGGCUGGUACAACGAGUCGCAAGUCGGUGACGGCAAGCUAAUCUCUUAAAGCCAGUCUCAGUUCGGAUUGUAGGCUGCAACUCGCCUACAUGAAGUCGGAAUCGCUAGUAAUCGCGGAUCAGCACGCCGCGGUGAAUACGUUCCCGGGCCUUGUACACACCGCCCGUCACACCACGAGAGUUUGUAACACCCGAAGUCGGUGAGGU